GACGAGCGCUGGCGGCGUGCCUAAUACAUGCCAGUAGAACGCACAGUUUAUACCGUAGCUUGCUACACCAUAGACUGUGAGUUGCGAACGGGUGAGUAACGCGUAGGUAACCUGCCUGGUAGCGGGGGAUAACUAUUGGAAACGAUAGCUAAUACCGCAUAAUAUUAAUUAUUGCAUGAUAAUUAAUUGAAAGGUGCAAUUGCACCACUACCAGAUGGACCUGCGUUGUAUUAGCUAGUAGGUGAGGUAACGGCUCACCUAGGCGACGAUACAUAGCCGACCUGAGAGGGUGAUCGGCCACACUGGGACUGAGACACGGCCCAGACGCCUACGGGAGGCAGCAGUAGGGAAUCGUCGGCAAUGGACGAAAGUCUGACCGAGCAACGCCGCGUGAGUGAAGAAGGUUUUCGGAUCGUAAAGCUCUGUUGUAAGAGAAGAACGGGUGUGAGAGUGGAAAGUUCACACUGUGACGGUAUCUUACCAGAAAGGGACGGCUAACUACGUG
rnacentral:rRNA from 1 species